CCCUUGGGGGCGUGCCUAUACAUGCAGUCGAACGAACUCUGGUAUUGAUUGGUGCUUGCAUCAUGAUUUACAUUUGAGUGAGUGGCGAACUGGUGAGUAACACGUGGGAAACCUGCCCAGAAGCGGGGGAUAACACCUGGAAACAGAUGCUAAUACCGCAUAACAACUUGGACCGCAUGGUCCGAGCUUGAAAGAUGGCUUCGGCUAUCACUUUUGGAUGGUCCCGCGGCGUAUUAGCUAGAUGGUGGGGUAACGGCUCACCAUGGCAAUGAUACGUAGCCGACCUGAGAGGGUAAUCGGCCACAUUGGGACUGAGACACGGCCCAAACUCCUACGGGAGGCAGCAGUAGGGAAUCUUCCACAAUGGACGAAAGUCUGAUGGAGCAACGCCGCGUGAGUGAAGAAGGGUUUCGGCUCGUAAAACUCUGUUGUUAAAGAAGAACAUAUCUGAGAGUAACUGUUCAGGUAUUGACGGUAUUUAACCAGAAAGCCACGGCUAACUACGUGCCAGCAGCCGCGGUAAUACGUAGGUGGCAAGCGUUGUCCGGAUUUAUUGGGCGUAAAGCGAGCGCAGGCGGUUUUUUAAGUCUGAUGUGAAAGCCUUCGGCUCAACCGAAGAAGUGCAUCGGAAACUGGGAAACUUGAGUGCAGAAGAGGACAGUGGAACUCCAUGUGUAGCGGUGAAAUGCGUAGAUAUAUGGAAGAACACCAGUGGCGAAGGCGGCUGUCUGGUCUGUAACUGACGCUGAGGCUCGAAAGUAUGGGUAGCAAACAGGAUUAGAUACCCUGGUAGUCCAUACCGUAAACGAUGAAUGCUAAGUGUUGGAGGGUUUCCGCCCUUCAGUGCUGCAGCUAACGCAUUAAGCAUUCCGCCUGGGGAGUACGGCCGCAAGGCUGAAACUCAAAGGAAUUGACGGGGGCCCGCACAAGCGGUGGAGCAUGUGGGUUUAAUUCGAAGCUACGCGAAGAACCUUACCAGGUCUUGACAUACUAUGCAAAUCUAAGAGAUUAGACGUUCCCUUCGGGGACAUGGAUACAGGUGGUGCAUGAUGUCGUCAGCUCGUGUCGUGAGAUGUGGGUAAGUCCCGCAACGAGCGCAACCCUUAUUUAUCAGUUGCCAGCAUUAAGUUGGGACUC
rnacentral:rRNA from 1 species